rnacentral:rRNA from 2 species
CCUGCCUUUGUACACACGCCCGUCGCUACUACCGAUUGAAUGGCUCAGUGAGGCGUCCGACUGGCCCAGAGAGGUGGGCAACUACCACUCAGGGCCGGAAAGCUCUCCAAACUCGGUCAUUUAGAGGAAGUAAAAGUCGUAACAAGGUCUCCGUUGGUGAACCAGCGGAGGGAUCAUU